rnacentral:rRNA from 1 species
AGAGUUUGAUCCUGGCUCAGAACGAACGCUGGCGGCGCGUUUUAAGCAUGCAAGUCGAACGGUAUACAUAGCUUGCUAUGUAGAGAGUGGCGAACGGGUGAGUAACACGUAGGUAAUCUGCCUCUGGAUGGGGGAUAGACCACGGAAACGUGGCGUAAUACCGCAUGAGCUCUAUACUUAUAACGAGUGUAGAGGAAAGAUGCAAUUGUAUCGUCUGGAGAUGAGCCUGCGGUCCAUUAGCUUGUUGGCAGGGUAAUGGCCUACCAAGGCGACGAUGGAUAGCCGGCCUGAGAGGGUGAACGGCCACACUGGGACUGAGACACGGCCCAGACUCCUACGGGAGGCAGCAGCUAAGAAUCUUCCGCAAUGGGCGAAAGCCUGACGGAGCGACGCCGCGUGGACGAUGAAGGCCGAAAGGUUGUAAAGUCCUUUUCUUAGGGAAGAAUAAGGCGAAGAAUGGAAUGCUUCGCUGAUGACAUUAACUGAGGAAUAAGCCCCGGCCAAUUACGUGCCAGCAGCCGCGGUAAUACGUAUGGGGCGAGCGUUGUUCGGAAUUAUUGGGCGUAAAGGGCGUGUAGGCGGUUUUAUAAGCCUGGUGUGAAAUCCCACAGCUCAACUGUGGAUCCGCGCUGGGAACUGUAAGACUAGAGUUUAGGAGGGGAAGCUGGAAUUCCUGGUGUAGGGGUGAAAUCUGUAGAUAUCAGGAAGAACACCGAUGGCGAAGGCAAGCUUCUAGCCAUAGACUGACGCUGAGGCGCGAAAGCGUGGGGAGCGAACAGGAUUAGAUACCCUGGUAGUCCACGCUGUAAACGAUGUGCACUGGGUGUAGGAGACGUUGAGUUUUCUGUGCCGUAGCUAACGCGAUAAGUGCACCGCCUGGGGAGUAUGCUCGCAAGGGUGAAACUCAAAGGAAUUGACGGGGGCCCGCACAAGCGGUGGAGCAUGUGGUUUAAUUCGAUACGCGAGGAACCUUACCAGGGCUUGACAUGUACUUGAAGGCUUAAGAGAUUAAGUCGACCUUUAGGGGACAGGUACACAGGUGCUGCAUGGCUGUCGUCAGCUCGUGUCGUGAGAUGUUGGGUUAAGUCCCGCAACGAGCGCAACCCUUACUGUCUGUUACCAGCAGGUCUUCGGACGCUGGGGACUCAGGCAGAACUGCCGGUGACAAACCGGAGGAAGGUGGGGAUGACGUCAAGUCAUCAUGGCCCUUAUGUCCUGGGCUACACACGUGCUACAAUGGUCGGUACAAAGCGUUGCGAGACGGUGACGUCCUUAGCAAAUCGCAAAAAGCCGAUCUCAGUUCGGAUUGGAGUCUGAAACCCGACUCCAUGAAGUUGGAAUCGCUAGUAAUCGCGCAUCAGAAUGGCGCGGUGAAUAUGUUCCCGGGCCUUGUACACACCGCCCGUCACACCACCCGAGUUGGGGGUACCCGAAGUCGCUAGUCUAACUUUUCGGAGAGGACGGCGCCGAAGGUAUGUCCGGUAAGGGGGGUGAAGUCGUAACAAGGUA